rnacentral:rRNA from 1 species
AGAGUUUGAUCAUGGCUCAGGAUGAACGUUGGCGGCGUGCCUAAUACAUGCAAGUCGAACGGUAGUUGAGCAUUCGUGCUUAAUGAGAGUGGCGAACGGGUGAGUAACACGUAACUGAUCUGCCCUUUAGACUGGGAUAACCUUUGGAAACAGAGGCUAAUACCGGAUGAGCUCGCGGUAGUUAGAGAGCCGUGAGGAAAGGCUUAUGCGCUAAGGGAUGAGGUUGCGGGCCAUCAGCUGGUUGGUGAGGUAAAGGCUUACCAAGGCGAUGACGGUUAGGGGACCUGAGAGGGUGGCCCCCCACACUGGGACUGAGACACGGCCCAGACUCCUACGGGAGGCAGCAGUAAGGGAUAUUGCACAAUGGACGGAAGUCUGAUGCAGCGACGCCGCGUGGGUGAAGAAGGUUUUCGGAUCGUAAAGCCCUUUUCUAUGUGACGAGAGAGGACGGUAGCAUAGGAAUAAGUGUCGGCUAACUACGUGCCAGCAGCCGCGGUAAAACGUAGGACGCGAACGUUAUCCGGAGUUACUGGGCGUAAAGCGCGCGUAGGCGGUUGGUUAAGUUACCUAUGAAAGAUACAGGCUAAACUUGUAUUGGUUAGGUGAAACUGGUCGACUAGAGAGAAAUAGAGGGAAGUAGAAUUCCGGGUGUAGUGGUGAAAAUGCGUAAAUAUCCGGAAGAAUACCGGUGGCGAAGGCGGCUUCCUGGAUUUCCAC